rnacentral:rRNA from 1 species
UACGUAGGGUGCGAGCGUUGUCCGGAUUUAUUGGGCGUAAAGAGCUCGUAGGCGGUUUGUCGCGUCUGCUGUGAAAAACUGGAGGCUCAACCUCCAGCCUGCAGUGGGUACGGGCAGACUAGAGUGCGGUAGGGGAGAUUGGAAUUCCUGGUGUAGCGGUGGAAUGCGCAGAUAUCAGGAGGAACACCGAUGGCGAAGGCAGAUCUCUGGGCCGUAACUGACGCUGAGGAGCGAAAGCAUGGGGAGCGAACAGG